AUUGAACGCUGGCGGCAGGCCUAACACAUGCAAGUCGAGCGGAUGAAGGGAGCUUGCUCCUGGAUUCAGCGGCGGACGGGUGAGUAAUGCCUAGGAAUCUGCCUGGUAGUGGGGGAUAACGUCCGGAAACGGGCGCUAAUACCGCAUACGUCCUGAGGGAGAAAGUGGGGGAUCUUCGGACCUCACGCUAUCAGAUGAGCCUAGGUCGGAUUAGCUAGUUGGUGGGGUAAAGGCCUACCAAGGCGACGAUCCGUAACUGGUCUGAGAGGGUGAUCAGUCACACUGGAACUGAGACACGGUCCAGACUCCUACGGGAGGCAGCAGUGGGGAAUAUUGGACAAUGGGCGAAAGCCUGAUCCAGCAAUGCCGCGUGAGUGAAGAAGGUCUUCGGAUUGUAAAGCACUUUUAGUUGGGAGGAAGAACAGUAAGUUAAUACCUUGCUGUUUUGACGUUACCAAAAGAGUAAGCACCGGCUAACUUCGUG
rnacentral:rRNA from 1 species